GUUUUUGGGGAGCACGGGAGCAGCCAGAGCUCAGUACAGAACAUCUCCAAUGUUUUGUGUCCCUGCAGGCCAAACCCAGGCGCCCCAAAACUCGGAGGAGCCCCGGGAGCCGGAGCCCCAAAACCAGGAGGGGCAGAACCCCAGCGACCCCAAAACCCAGAGAGCCAGAGACCAGACACCCCAAAACCUGGAGAGCCAGAGCCCAGACACCCCAAAACCCAGAGAGCCGGAGCCCAGAGACCCCAAAAAACAGAGCUCAGAGACACCAAAACUAGAGAGCCACAGCACAGACACCCCAAAACCCAGAGAGCGGAGCCCAGAGACCCUAAAUCCUGCACAGCCAGAGAACAGAGACCCCAAAUCCUGCAGAGCCAAGCCCAGAGACCUGAAAACCAGAAAGUCGGAGCCCAGAGACCCCAAAUCCUGCAGAACCAGAGCCCAGAGACCCCAAAACCAGAGCCCAGAGACCCCAAGACCCACAGAGCCGGAGCCCAGAGACCCCAAAACACAGAAAGCCAGAGGCCAGGCACCCCAAAACCCAGAGAGACAGAGCCCCGAGACCCCAAAAUCCAGAGCCCAGAGACCCCAAAACCUGCACAGCCAGAGCAAGACACCCCAAAACCUGCACAGCCAGAGCCCAGAGACCCAAACUCCUGCAGAGUUGGAGCCCAGAGACCCCAAAAACUGGAGAACCAGAGACCCCAAAACCAGAGAGCCAGAGCCCAGAGACCCCAAAUCCUGCAGAGUCGGAGAGCAGACACCCCAAAACCCAGACAGCCAGAGCCCAGAGACCCCAAAUCCUGCAGAGUCAGAGAGCAGACACCCCAAAACCAGAGAGCCGGAGCCCAGAGACCCCAAAUCCUGCAGAGUCGGAGCGCAGAGACCCCAAAACCUGCACAGCUGGAACCCAGAGACCCCAAAACCUGCAGAACCAGAACCCAGAGUUCCUGAGAGCUGCAGCCAGGACGGCAGAGAGCCAGAGCCCCGAAACCCCAGGAACCCUGAAACCCCAGGAACCCCAAAACCUCGGGAGCCCCGAAACCUUGGGAACCCUGAAACCUCGGGAGCUCUGAAACCUCGGGAGCCCCGAAACCCCAGGAGCCCCCAGCCCAGGCCGGGGGGCAGGAGCCACAUCCAGCCCCGUGUGCAGAGGGAGGGUCCCUCACCCCAGAGCGAGCAGUGGCAUGUGGCACGUGUGACCCUCCCCACCUGUGCCAGGCCACCAUGGAGCCGUGCCCGGGGCAGCCCCAGGAGGCCCUGCUGA
rnacentral:lncRNA from 14 species